UUCCAGCUCCAAUAGCGUAUAUUAAAGUUGUUGCAGUUAAAAAGCUCGUAGUUGAACUUCGGAACCGGUCGAUUGGUCCGUCCUCUGGAUUGUGUACUGAUCGAUCUGUUCUUCUUCGCGAAGACCGCGUGUGCCCUUAACUGGGUGUGCACGGGAUUCACGACGUUUACUUUGAAAAAAUUAGAGUGUUCAAAGCAGGCAUUCGCUUGAAUAUCUCAGCAUGGAAUAAUAGAAUAGGACUUUGGUCUUAUUUUGUUGGUUUCCGAGACCGAAGUAAUGAUUAAUAGGGACAGUUGGGGGCAUUCGUAUUUCAUUGUCAGAGGUGAAAUUCUUGGAUUUAUGAAAGACGAACUUCUGCGAAAGCAUUUGCCAAGGAUGUUUUCAUUA
rnacentral:rRNA from 1 species